GGGACACGUGGUAUCCUGUCUGAAUAUGGGGGGACCAUCCUCCAAGGCUAAAUACUCCUGACUGACCGAUAGUGAACCAGUACCGUGAGGGAAAGGCGAAAAGAACCCCGGCGAGGGGAGUGAAAAAGAACCUGAAACCGUGUACGUACAAGCAGUGGGAGCCUCUUAAUGGGGUGACUGCGUACCUUUUGUAUAAUGGGUCAGCGACUUAUAUUCUGUAGCAAGGUUAACCGAAUAGGGGAGCCGAAGGGAAACCGAGUCUUAACUGGGCGUUAAGUUGCAGGGUAUAGACCCGAAACCCGGUGAUCUAGCCAUGGGCAGGUUGAAGGUUGGGUAACACUAACUGGAGGACCGAACCGACUAAUGUUGAAAAAUUAGCGGAUGACUUGUGGCUGGGGGUGAAAGGCCAAUCAAACCGGGAGAUAGCUGGUUCUCCCCGAAAGCUAUUUAGGUAGCGCCUCGUGAAUUCAUCUCCGGGGGUAGAGCACUGUUUCGGCAAGGGGGUCAUCCCGACUUACCAACCCGAUGCAAACUGCGAAUACCGGAGAAUGUUAUCACGGGAGACACACGGCGGGUGCUAACGUUCGUCGUGAAGAGGGAAACAACCCAGACCGCCAGCUAAGGUCCCAAAGUCAUGGUUAAGUGGGAAACGAUGUGGGAAGGCCCAGACAGCCAGGAUGUUGGCUUAGAAGCAGCCAUCAUUUAAAGAAAGCGUAAUAGCUCACUGGUCGAGUCGGCCUGCGCGGAAGAUGUAACGGGGCUAAACCAUGCACCGAAGCUGCGGCAGCGACACUAUGUGUUGUUGGGUAGGGGAGCGUUCUGUAAGCCUGUGAAGGUGGCCUGUGAGGGUUGCUGGAGGUAUCAGAAGUGCGAAUGCUGACAUAAGUAACGAUAAAGCGGGUGAAAAGCCCGCUCGCCGGAAGACCAAGGGUUCCUGUCCAACGUUAAUCGGGGCAGGGUGAGUCGACCCCUAAGGCGAGGCCGAAAGGCGUAGUCGAUGGGAAACAGGUUAAUAUUCCUGUACUUGGUGUUACUGCGAAGGGGGGACGGAGAAGGCUAUGUUGGCCGGGCGACGGUUGUCCCGGUUUAAGCGUGUAGGCUGGUUUUCCAGGCAAAUCCGGAAAACCAAGGCUGAGGCGUGAUGACGAGGCACUACGGUGCUGAAGCGACAAAUGCCCUGCUUCCAGGAAAAGCCUCUAAGCAUCAGGUAACAUCAAAUCGUACCCCAAACCGACACAGGUGGUCAGGUAGAGAAUACCAAGGCGCUUGAGAGAACUCGGGUGAAGGAACUAGGCAAAAUGGUGCCGUAACUUCGGGAGAAGGCACGCUGAUAUGUAGGUGAAGCGACUUGCUCGUGGAGCUGAAAUCAGUCGAAGAUACCAGCUGGCUGCAACUGUUUAUUAAAAACACAGCACUGUGCAAACACGAAAGUGGACGUAUACGGUGUGACGCCUGCCCGGUGCCGGAAGGUUAAUUGAUGGGGUUAGCGGUAACGCGAAGCUCUUGAUCGAAGCCCCGGUAAACGGCGGCCGUAACUAUAACGGUCCUAAGGUAGCGAAAUUCCUUGUCGGGUAAGUUCCGACCUGCACGAAUGGCGUAAUGAUGGCCAGGCUGUCUCCACCCGAGACUCAGUGAAAUUGAACUCGCUGUGAAGAUGCAGUGUACCCGCGGCAAGACGGAAAGACCCCGUGAACCUUUACUAUAGCUUGACACUGAACAUUGAGCCUUGAUGUGUAGGAUAGGUGGGAGGCUUUGAAGUGUGGACGCCAGUCUGCAUGGAGCCGACCUUGAAAUACCACCCUUUAAUGUUUGAUGUUCUAACGUUGGCCCGUAAUCCGGGUUGCGGACAGUGUCUGGUGGGUAGUUUGACUGGGGCGGUCUCCUCCUAAAGAGUAACGGAGGAGCACGAAGGUUGGCUAAUCCUGGUCGGACAUCAGGAGGUUAGUGCAAUGGCAUAAGCCAGCUUGACUGCGAGCGUGACGGCGCGAGCAGGUGCGAAAGCAGGUCAUAGUGAUCCGGUGGUUCUGAAUGGAAGGGCCAUCGCUCAACGGAUAAAAGGUACUCCGGGGAUAACAGGCUGAUACCGCCCAAGAGUUCAUAUCGACGGCGGUGUUUGGCACCUCGAUGUCGGCUCAUCACAUCCUGGGGCUGAAGUAGGUCCCAAGGGUAUGGCUGUUCGCCAUUUAAAGUGGUACGCGAGCUGGGUUUAGAACGUCGUGAGACAGUUCGGUCCCUAUCUGCCGUGGGCGCUGGAGAACUGAGGGGGGCUGCUCCUAGUACGAGAGGACCGGAGUGGACGCAUCACUGGUGUUCGGGUUGUCAUGCCAAUGGCACUGCCCGGUAGCUAAAUGCGGAAGAGAUAAGUGCUGAAAGCAUCUAAGCACGAAACUUGCCCCGAGAUGAGUUCUCCCUGAGACUUAGAGUCUCCUGAAGGAACGUUGAAGACGACGACGUUGAUAGGCCGGGUGUGUAAGCGCAGCGAUGCGUUGAGCUAACCGGUACUAAUGAACCGUGAGGCUUAACCUU
rnacentral:rRNA from 1 species